UACGGGGGGAGCAAGCGUUGUUCGGAUUUACUGGGCGUAAAGGGCGCGUAGGCGGCCACCGCAAGUCGGUUGUGAAAUCUCUGGGCUUAACCCAGAAAGGUCAAUCGAUACUGCGGGGCUAGAGUGCAGAAGGGGCAACUGGAAUUCUCGGUGUAGCGGUGAAAUGCGUAGAUAUCGAGAGGACCACCUGCGGCGAAGGCGGGUUGCUGGGCUGACACUGACGCUGACAGCGCGAAAGCUAGGGGAGCGAACGGG
rnacentral:rRNA from 1 species